GAAGCUGUUCAGCAGUCUGAUGGCUUGGGGGUAGAAGCUGUUCAUCGGUCUGAUGGCUUGGGGGUAGAAGCUGUUCAGCAGUCUGAUGGCUUGGGGGUAGAAGCUGUUCAGCAGUCUGAUGGCUUGGGGGUAGAAGCUGUUCAGCAGUCUGAUGGCUUGGGGGUAGAAGCUGUUCAGCAGUCUGAUGGCUUGGGGGUAGAAGCUGUUCAGCAGUCUGAUGGCUUGGGGGUAGAAGCUGUUCAGCAGACUGGUGGCUUGGGGGUAGAAGCUGUUCGGGAGCCUUUUGGUCCCACAUUUGGCACUCUGGUACCGUUCGUUGUGCAGUAGCAAAAUAACUGUCUAUAGCUUAGGUGGCUGGAGUCUGACACCGCCUGAUAUAGAGGUCCCAGUGAUGUACUGGGCCAUAUUCACUACCUUCUGUAGAAGAGCCAAGGACUCACAUUAUACUGUAGUCCUCAGAGAGAGAGAGAGAGAGAGAGAGAGAGAGACCUCUUCUGUUCUGUUCUGUUUGGGGGACGAGCUGUGUCAGUCUGCCCGCCUGAUGUUAAAGUGCUUAAGGCAGUAGGUCUAUGACUGCUACAUGUUAGGACGGCAGUAAUGUAGUCUAGACAGUCUUCUGGUAGGUCUAUGACUGCUACAUGUUAGGACGGCAGGAAUGUAGUCUAGACAGUCUUCUGGUAGGUCUAUGACUGCUACAUGUUAGGACGGCAGUAAUGUAGUCUAGACAGUCUUCUGGUAGGUCUAUGACUGCUACAUGUUAGGACAGCAGUAAUGUAGUCUAGACAGUCUUCUGGUAGGUCUAUGACUGCUACAUGUUAGGACAGCAGUAAUGUAGUCCAGACAGUCUUCCGGUAGGUCUAUGACUGCUACAUGUUAGGACAGCAGUAAUGUAGUCCAG
rnacentral:lncRNA from 1 species